UCGGAAAGGGAACUCCCUGGCCCCUUGCGCUUCCCAGGUGAGGCAAUGCCUCGCCCUGCUUCGGCUCGCGCACGGUGCGCACACCCACUGGCCUGCACUCACUGUCUGGCACUCCCUAGUGAGAUGCACCCGGUACCUCAGAUGGAAAUGCAGAAAUCACCCGUCUUCUACAGCUCACCCUGGGAGCUGUAGACCGGAGCUGUUCCUAUUCGGCCACCUUGGCUCCUCCCCUUGCUACCAAAUUAUUACUAAGCCUCCUACAAAGCAAGGUCUCCACUACUCCUUUGCUCAAGCAUGGUGACUCUAACCUUUGCAUUCAUGGAUGUGGCUGGCAGGAUGCCCCGUGGGCUCAAACCAUUUCCAUAAAGUACACGUGCAAAGCCCCUGCUGAGAGACACCAGGAACAUCUUUCAAGGCUCUCAGCUCCAGCUUCUUCUUUCAAAAUGCACAAGGCUUCUCAACUAGUUCCUGUCUAGCCAGGCUGCUCAUUUCUUUAUAGUCACUGAACCAGAAUAACCACAGAUCAAGCCGGAAGCACAUGAUAACCCGCUGAACUCCGCACAGCCCUGGCUGGGCUUCUCUGAGUGAACAAACGCUGCCCUGGUCUCCGCAGCUGUGAAAUAUCCAGUGAGCAUCCAGCUGCGGGUUAGUUACUUCCACAGUCAGAGAAGGAAAGAAGAAAAUAAGAGUGACAGAUGCACAGAACCACGGACAUUCGAGACUGUCAUAGCUGUUCACAGUUGUUGAAGAUUUACAGGCAAGCCGUUUGGAGUUUAAAUGUGAGAUGACACCAGGGGCCUCUAAUGUACAGUGGAGCUUUAAGCAUGAUAUGGGGGCAGAAAAUGGUCUGGGAACCCCCUUCUCUGAGAUCUUAGAAGUUCUGUUCUAUUGACUCCAGGCAGGGCUGCAGCCACGGUGCACUUCAUGGACUCAUAAAUAUAACAUUAUUGGACAAAAAAACCCCAAUCCUUCUCUGACUGAUUAGGCCCAGAUUGGUCAGCCCAUAAAUCAAUGCUGAAUAAGAACUAUAAAGUUGUGAAUCAAUGUGUCCCAGAUCUCCAAACUGGAAUGAAAAAACAGGAAUAAAAUAGCUGGAGC
rnacentral:lncRNA from 1 species